rnacentral:rRNA from 1 species
UACGGAGGGUGCGAGCGUUGUUCGGAAUCACUGGGCGUAAAGCGCGUGUAGGCGGUCUGGCAAGUCUGGUGUGAAAGCCCGGGGCUCACCCCCGGAAGUGCACUGGAAACUGCCAGACUCGAGUCCCGGAGAGGAGAGUAGAAUUCCUGGUGUAGCGGUGAAAUGCGUAGAUAUCAGGAGGAAUACCGGUGGCGAAGGCGGCUCUCUGGACGGUGACUGACGCUGAGACGAGAAAGCGUGGGGAGCAAACAGG